rnacentral:rRNA from 1 species
AACAUCUCAGUACCCCGAGGAAAAGACCUCAACCGAGAUUCCCCUAGUAGCGGCGAGCGAACGGGGAGCAGCCCAGAGUCUUAAUCAGCAUCAGCAUCAGGAGAACGGUCUGGAAAGGCCGGCAAUAAAGGGUGAUAGCCCCGUAUCCGAAGGUGUUGGUGUUGUGAACUCGACGAGUAGGGCGGGACACGUGUUAUCCUGUCUGAAUAUGGGGGGACCAUCCUCCAAGGCUAAAUACUCCUGAUUGACCGAUAGUGAACCAGUACCGUGAGGGAAAGGCGAAAAGAACCCCGGCGAGGGGAGUGAAAUAGAACCUGAAACCGUGUACGUACAAGCAGUGGGAGCCUUGAUUUAUCAGGGUGACUGCGUACCUUUUGUAUAAUGGGUCAGCGACUUAUAUUCUGUAGCAAGGUUAACCGAAUAGGGGAGCCGUAGGGAAACCGAGUCUUAACUGGGCGAAUGAGUUGCAGGGUAUAGACCCGAAACCCGGUGAUCUAGCCAUGGGCAGGUUGAAGGUUGGGUAACACUAACUGGAGGACCGAACCGACUAAUGUUGAAAAAUUAGCGGAUGACUUGUGGCUGGGGGUGAAAGGCCAAUCAAACCGGGAGAUAGCUGGUUCUCCCCGAAAGCUAUUUAGGUAGCGCCUCGUGAACUCAUCUUCGGGGGUAGAGCACUGUUUCGGCUAGGGGGUCAUCCCGACUUACCAACCCGAUGCAAACUACGAAUACCGAAGAAUGUUAUCACGGGAGACACACGGCGGGUGCUAACGUUCGUCGUGAAGAGGGAAACAACCCAGACCGCCAGCUAAGGUCCCAAAGUCAUGGUUAAGUGGGAAACGAAGUGGGAAGGCUCAGACAGCCAGGAUGUUGGCUUAGAAGCAGCCAUCAUUUAAAGAAAGCGUAAUAGCUCACUGGUCGAGUCGGCCUGCGCGGAAGAUGUAACGGGGCUAAACCAUGCACCGAAGCUGCGGCAGCGACAUGUAAAUGUUGUUGGGUAGGGGAGCGUUCUGUAAGCCUGUGAAGGUGUGCUGCGAGGCAUGCUGGAGGUAUCAGAAGUGCGAAUGCUGACAUAAGUAACGAUAAUGCGGGUGAAAAACCCGCACGCCGGAAGACCAAGGGUUCCUGUCCAACGUUAAUCGGGGCAGGGUGAGUCGACCCCUAAGGCGAGGCAGAAAUGCGUAGUCGAUGGGAAACAGGUUAAUAUUCCUGUACUGGUGAUAAUUGCGAUGGGGGGACGGAGAAGGCUAGGCUGGCCGGGCGACGGUUGUCCCGGUUUAAGGAUGUAGGUGGGUGAAUUAGGCAAAUCCGGUUCGCUAUACACUGAGGUCUGAUGACGAGUCACUACGGUGGCGAAGUAGCUCAUGCCCCGCUUCCAGGAAAAGCCUCUAAGCUCUAGAUUAUCAUUAAUCGUACCCCAAACCGACACAGGUGGUCAGGUAGAGAAUACUCAGGCGCUUGAGAGAACUCGGGUGAAGGAACUAGGCAAAAUGGUGCCGUAACUUCGGGAGAAGGCACGCUGGCAUUAGGUGAAGUGGUUUACCCAUGGAGCUGAAGCCAGUCGCAGAUACCAGCUGGCUGCAACUGUUUAUUAAAAACACAGCACUGUGCAAACACGAAAGUGGACGUAUACGGUGUGACGCCUGCCCGGUGCUGGAAGGUUAAUUGAUGGGGUUAUCCGUAAGGAGAAGCUCUUGAUCGAAGCCCCAGUAAACGGCGGCCGUAACUAUAACGGUCCUAAGGUAGCGAAAUUCCUUGUCGGGUAAGUUCCGACCUGCACGAAUGGCGUAAUGAUGGCCAGGCUGUCUCCACCCGAGACUCAGUGAAAUUGAACUCGCUGUGAAGAUGCAGUGUACCCGCGGCAAGACGGAAAGACCCCGUGAACCUUUACUAUAGCUUGACACUGAACAUUGAGCCUUGAUGUGUAGGAUAGGUGGGAGGCUUUGAAGUGUGGACGCCAGUCUGCAUGGAGCCAACCUUGAAAUACCACCCUUUAAUGUUUGAUGUUCUAACGUUGCCCCAUAAUCUGGGGUGCGGACAGUGUCUGGUGGGUAGUUUGACUGGGGCGGUCUCCUCCCAAAGCGUAACGGAGGAGCACGAAGGUUGGCUAAGCAUGGUCGGACAUCAUGCGGUUAGUGCAAAGGCAUAAGCCAGCUUGACUGCGAGAGUGACGGCUCGAGCAGGUACGAAAGUAGGUCUUAGUGAUCCGGUGGUUCUGAAUGGAAGGGCCAUCGCUCAACGGAUAAAAGGUACUCCGGGGAUAACAGGCUGAUACCGCCCAAGAGUUCAUAUCGACGGCGGUGUUUGGCACCUCGAUGUCGGCUCAUCACAUCCUGGGGCUGAAGUAGGUCCCAAGGGGUAUGGCUGUUCGCCAUUUAAAGUGGUACGCGAGCUGGUUUAGACGUCGUGAGACAGUUCAGUCCCUAUCUGCCGUGGGCGUUUGAAGAUGAAAGGGGCUGCUCCUAGUACGAGAAGAACCGGAAUGGACGCCACCGCUGGUGUUCGGGUUGUCA